CACACACUCCUAGUUUGUGAUUGUGCAGAAGUGUGUGUACCCUUAUGUGCCUGUAGCAGUAUUUUCGUUUCGUUUUGUUUAAACCGGAAGGGAUAAAACAAACAAAAAAAAUGCAAAUAGAUGUUAAUUAUUAUCACAAUGCAGGCCCGUUGUUCUUGCCAGUUCUCCACUUUGUGAGAGGGCCCUACCUACAGUCCUUUAAUCUAAUCUAACCCCUUUCAAUUCUUUAUUCUCAUCAGGUGCCAGAGUGAUUUUGCAUAUAUUAUUUAAUUUGAUCUUUACAAUAAUUAUUUCACAGAUUAAUCAGGACUUGAAGCCAUGGUCUUCCCUCCAUUUGUUAAUCAUAUUUUUAUUGGGCAUCUUCUACUUACCAGACACUUCUCUGGGUACUGGGGAUUGGUCGCUAACCUGAUGUUACGUGAGUUUAUAACCUCGACAGACGAUGAUCAAACAAGCAAAACGUAAACGCGGGGUGUGCGCACGCAUGCGCAAGCACAUGAAGGUGUAGGUGCGCGCAUGCGUGUCAGCCUGCGCGUGCGCGCAUGGUGUGUGCGUACGUAAGGGCAACUAGAGGCACAUGCUCUGAAGAACAACGGAGAGCAACGGAGAGUCCGAGACCGUGGGUACUUCGGUCAGUGUUGGCCCAGAAUGAAAAACACACCCCUUAUAAUCCGCGGAGGAUGUAAUCCACGACAUUAAUAACUGAAUCUGGAAAUUGCCAGCAGUUUUGACACAACUAUCUGGCAAAAGAAACAAACUGGAGGGGCAGAGGGAGGAUAUUACACUUUCUGCAAGAGCUGAAAACAAAAAGGUUCACCACAGGAGAUGUGGUGGCCAGGAGACCUGAGAAUCCAGCCUACUCAAUAAUCAUAUUUCUCAUGGUAAAUCUAAAACUUGGAAUGUGCCUUGGGAGAGAAAGGAGAGAAAUGACAGGAGACUGGAGGUGUCAUGUCUGGAUUAGAUGUUCGAGUGCUACAAUGUACACCUUGUUCUUAACAAGUGCCACGAGGACUCAAUGUCAUCAUCUUGGGGUCUUCUUACUGCCACACAGCCCCAUGAGUUUGAAAAUAACUCGGAUGAACAGAUUAAAAAACCAAGGUGCAGACAGAUGGGAGCACUUGAAGUCACACAUCUAGACAAGAAAGAAACUUCAAGUUGGAAGAGGCAAGGUUCCCACAGAUGUUGGUGACAGAAAAUGGAAACCCAGGCAAGAAAUAAGGAAUGUUCUAAAGGCCCGCUCAGGGUCCCAGGGCCUGGCCAGAUAAAUUAACUUCUAGGAGACUUGUCUGCUUUGAAGAGCUGAGACUUUGAGGGAAGGGGCUAGAAGCCCAGCCACUGGAAAGUUACGAUCUUUUAAAAAAUAUGGGCAGGCAGUUUGGAUGAUCUUUGGUCACGCGAGCUGGACAUUGUCUCCAGACUGAAGAGCCUUUUCUGACAUCCUCAUUUGUUCUGCUGUGUAAUAGCAUGGGAUCUUUCAGAGCUGUCGACAUCUGCUGCACUCUAGAGAGCUGCAGAACCGAGCCAGCAAAGCAAUAAUAAUUAUGCCCAAAUGGACUGCAAAGGAUGUAAGAGAUAAGAAGGAAGACCAGAAAAAAAUACACUCGAUGCAAUGGUG